rnacentral:rRNA from 1 species
UCGAGGAUCUUCGGCAAUGAGCGCAAGCUUGACCGAGCGACGCCGCGUGAGCGAUGAAGGCCUUCGGGUUGUAAAGCUCUUUAGUGGGGGAGAAAAGCCAGCAAUGGUGUGAUCUAUCCCAAAAAUAAGCACGGGCUAAGUUCGUGCCAGCAGCCGCGGUAAGACGAACCGUGCGAACGUUGUUCGGAAUAACUGGGCUUAAAGGGAGCGUAGGCGGGCUAACAAGUCUGGGGUGAAAUCCCGCGGCUCAACCGUGGAACUGCCUUAGAUACUGUCGGCCUCGAGGGAGAUAGGGGCAUGCGGAACUAACGGUGGAGCGGUGAAAUGCGUUGAUAUCGUUAGGAACUCCGGUGGCGAAAGCGGCGUGCUGGAUCUCUUCUGACGCUGAGGCUCGAAAGCUAGGGGAGCAAACG